UACGGAGGGGGCGAGCGUUGUCCGAAGUUACUGGGCGUAAAGCGCGCGUAGGCGGGUUGCCAAGUCCGCUGUGAAAGCCCGAGGCUCAACCUCGGAGGGUCGGUGGAUACUGGCAGUCUUGAAGGUGCUAGGGGGAGAUGGAAUUACCGGUGUAGCGGUGAAAUGCGUAGAUAUGGGGAGGAACACCGGUGGCGAAGGCGGCCAUCUGGACGGAUACUGACGCUGAGACGCGAAAGCGUGGGGAGCAAACAGG
rnacentral:rRNA from 1 species